UUUUAAAAAGCUUCAAACUGGGAUUAGAUACCCCACUAUGCUCAGCCAUAAACCUAGACAUCCAGCUACAAUUAGAUGUCCGCCCGGGUACUACGAGCAUCAGCUUGAAACCCAAAGGACCUGACGGUGCCUCAGACCCCCCUAGAGGAGCCUGUUCUAGAACCGAUAACCCCCGUUAAACCUCACCACUUCUAGCCAUCCCAGCCUAUAUACCGCCGUCGUCAGCUUACCCUGUGAAGGCAAUAAAAGUAAGCAAAAUGGGCACAACCCAGAACGUCAGGUCGAGGUGUAGCGUACGAAGUGGGAAGAAAUGGGCUACAUUUUCUAUCACAGAACACUACGAAUAUGCAACAUGAAAUAGUGCUUGAAGGAGGAUUUAGUAGUAAAAAGGAAGCAGAGUGUCCUUUUGAACCCGGCUCUGAGGCGCGUACACACCGCCCGUCACCAUCCUGCAGUCAAAA
rnacentral:rRNA from 1 species